AGCCAGGAAUGAAGCUACCCAAACAGAGAAGAAUCAAUUUCGUAAGGCCUUGACAUGAUAGGAAUUCCUCGUCACAGCCAUGCUCUUGAUGGCAGCAUCUGCAGAGGUGAUCUCAUGGUUUCAGCAAACAUUAACAAAGUGGCUUUCCCAUUCUUCCUGCAAUGUCAUCGAGCUUGACUAGAUUGUGUGAGGAAUCUGGUCUUCACUACCUGUGGAAGGGUACACUUCCAAUUGAAGGAGCACAGUAAAGUUUCACCAGUUUGAUUCUGGACAGAAGAGCUGCAUUGGUGACCCCCCCCCCCCCACCAAUCCACAGGAAAUAGUCCAGAACUGACAGAGCCACGAAAGAUGAGAAAUAGAGUGUUCACUGUCUCUACAACUGUCUAUUUCAGAAUUUUGGGGUGUAGUCAUCAGGUCCUUGGGUUACAUCAGCUUUCAAGCUUAUCACUUUUUCCUGUCCUAUUUUGUUCAACUGAUAGUUCUUUCUCUUCCACACUCUUGUUGGAUACUCAAUGCUCUAAUAUAUCUGGCAGGUUUUGUGUGUAUUCCUCUGUGCAAUAUGCAAAGUAAGUUGUUAAUUCUUCUAUCUUUCCUUGUUCCCAUUAUAAAUUCUCUGACUCUCUCUGUAAGGUGUCCCCAGUUGCCCUCACUCAUCUUUUCCGUUUUCACUCACUGUUAAAAACUUGCAAUCUGUUCCUGUUUCCUCCCACUCUCAUCAUAUACCUUGCCUUUACAAUAGUCUGUCGAGGUUUAAAAUCCUCCCAAUCCUCAGGCCUAAUGGUAUUUCUGGCAACUCUAUAAGCCUCUCCCUUUAAUUUCUCAUGUCAGCCACAGAUGAAUCACAUUUUUUUUGUUAGUACUUUGCGACUUAGAGGAAUUUUGUUUGAAACUUGUGUAUUAUUUCUUUGUGAACAUUCUCCCGUUCACUCUUACCUUUCAAUGUUUUAACCCACCCAGUCACAUCCAACUUUGCUCUCAUGAUAAGAACCUUCUUAAAAUUCACCGCCAGGUUCAGGAACAGUUACUACCCAUCAACUAUCAUGCUCUUGAACAAAAGGGGUAACUGCACUCAACUACACUUGCUCCAUCAUUGAAAUGUUCCCACAACAAAUGGGCUCACUUUCAAGGGACUCUUCAUCUCAUGUUCUCUUUAUCUAUUGCUAUUUAUUUUUAUUUACAUUGGCACAGCUUAUGGUCUUCUGCACUCUGGUUGAAUUCCCUAGUUGGGCUGCCUUUCAAUGAUUCUGUGGCGACCCACUCCCCAGCGCACUCGAACCGGCCCACAAAGCGGUGCGCGCCGGCAUUGAGGCCGGUCCCAAAGAGGGCGCCAAGCCUGCUUCACCAGCACGGGGAAAAGACCGCGCGCGGGACGGGACUGUGAAUACGUGCCCCCUGCAGCAUUCCCGCCCGGGGAGGGCAGGAUCAGGAAGGCUUUAAAGCGAGGCCGCAAAGUUUGAAUAAACCUC